CUCAAGAAAGGCCCCUCAGGAAGGCAACACUGCAUGGCGACUCUUCGCCCCCUCGUCCAACUCCUUAUCUAUUUGCUCGCCUAUUCCUGUGUGUACUCCUGUUUGUACUUGUUGAUUUAUUUCUUUAGCGUCUUUGUGGAGGACUAGGCAGCUGAGCUGGACAGAAGCCACCUGGACAAGCAAAGCCCUACCUGCGGCUCAAGAAAUGGCCAGUUUCUUUCAAAUGCUGUAUACCGGAAGAAUCCAAAGGAUUCAUCAGAUGAACAAAUUUCAAAGUGCCACUACCAAUUUUUUUCUUUAAGAAAUGCAUCAAGCAUCUGAUUCGCUGCUGAUAAAUUCUCUGUACCUGCUGAGAAGACAUCAUCUUUUGCUCAGACAUGAUGACCAGGAAGAAUGUUUCUCGGUUGUUAUAAAAAUCCUGAGCAUCUGCUUUGUUCCCUUGAGCACGCAAAGGCUCUCCUCUCCAGCUUGUCAUGGAUUGGGGCUGCUUUUUUCAAGU